UCCGUAGGUGAACCUGCGGAAGGAUCAUUACAGAAAUAGGAGAAGGUUGCUUAACUGCAAUCCUUUUCUUUCUACACAUGCGUUUUUCUUUUUUUUGAAAACUUUGCUUUGGUGGGCCCACGGCCUGCCAGAGAUUAAACUCAACCAAAUUUUUAUUUAAUUGUCAACUUGAUUAACUAAUAGUCGAAACUUUCAACAACGGAUCUCUUGGUUCUCGCAUCGAUGAAGAACGCAGCGAAAUGCGAUAAGUAAUAUGAAUUGCAGAUACUCGUGAAUCAUCGAAUCUUUGAACGCACAUUGCGCCCUUUGGUAUUCCAAAGGGCAUGCCUGUUUGAGCGUCAUUUCUCCCUCAAACCUUCGGGUUUAGUGUUGAGCGAUACGCUGGGUUUGCUUGAAAGAAAGGCGGAGUAUAAACUAACGGAUAGGUUUUUUUUUCCACUCAUUGGUACGAACUCCAAACAUUCCUCCAAAUUCGACCUCAAAUCAGGUAGGACUACCCGCUGAACUUAAGCAUAUCAAUAAGCGGAGGA
rnacentral:rRNA from 1 species